UGCGCAGGCGGUAAAGUAAGUCAGUGGUGAAAUCUCUCGGCUCAACCGAGAAACUGCCAUUGAUACUGCUAUACUUGAAUAUAGUCGAAGUGGGCGGAAUGUGACAUGUAGCGGUGAAAUGCUUAGAUAUGUCACAGAACACCGAUAGCGAAGGCAGCUCACUAGACUAACAUUGACGCUCAUGCACGAAAGCGUGGGGAGCGAACAGGAUUAGAUACCCUGGUAGUCCACGCCGUAAACUAUGAUUACUCGAUAUUGGCGAUAUACGGUCAGUGUCUAAGCGAAAGUGAUAAGUAAUCCACCUGGGGAGUACGGUCGCAAGAUUGAA
rnacentral:rRNA from 1 species